rfam:Rhizoclosmatium globosum strain JEL800 BCR33scaffold_62, whole genome shotgun sequence.
GCCUUCUUAGCUCAGUUGGUCAGAUCGCCUGCCUAGUAAGCAGGAGGCCACCAGUUCAAAUCUGGUAGAAGGCA